GUCGAGAAUCUUCCGCAAUGCGCGAAAGCGUGACGGAGCGACAUCGCGUGAUGGAUGAAGUCCUUCGGGGCGUAAACAUCUUUUAUAAAGGAGGAAAUUUUUGACGUUACUUUAUGAAUAAGGGGCUCCCAAUCUCGUGCCAGCAGGAGCGGUAAUACGAGAGCCUCAAGCGUUAUCCGGAAUCAUUGGGCGUAAAGGGUGCGUAGGUGGUUUGAUUAGUCUCCCGUUAAAACUUCGAGCUUAACUCGAAAAGAGCGGGGGAAACGGUCAAACUAGAGUAUGUGAGAGGUGUGUGGAACUCAUGGUGUAGGGGUGAAAUCCGUUGAUAUCAUGGGGAACACCAAAAGCGAAGGCAGCACACUGGCACAUCACUGACACUGAGGCACGAAACCUAAGGUAGCGAAUGGGAUUAGAUACCCCUGUAGUCC
rnacentral:rRNA from 1 species